CGCCUAGAGUUCAGCACCCCAGAUGCGGACAGCGACACCGCCCAGUUGAGUCCCAUGACUCGCUGCGGAGAUUUUCACCUGACAAAGGAACCGGCCAAUCUCAAUGCCGCGUGAUCGACCAAUUUACAAUGCCAGAGAUAGAGACUACAUCAUGGAAUUAAAUCUUCUAGUACCUCUUAAAGGAGCUUAAGGGAAAGAAAAAAAAGCUGCAAGCCUAGAAGGUUGUUUCAGUGGAUCCCAGGGACUGAACUCAGAUCACAAGUGGUUGAUUGUACCUGCUGAGUCAUCUCACUGUACCUGCUGAGUCAUCUCAUUGUACCUGCUGAAUCCUCUCACUGCACCUGCUGAGUCAUCUCAC